GUAAAUUACUUAUAACUGAAUCUACAAAACAUUAAUAAAUAAUUUACAUAUCACUUAUUAAUCAUUUAUGAACACAUAGUCAUGUUUCAUAAAUGAUUAGUUCAUUAUUUACUAAUCACUUGUAAAUGACUUGUAACGGCAUUUACAAAACAUAUAUAAAAUGUUAGCAUGUCACUUGCUAAUCAUCUAUAUAUGUUUUGUAAAUGAUUAGUUCAUCAUUAACGAACCACUUAUUAAUGACUUACAACUGAACGUUAUUAUAAAGUGAUACCCAAUUUAAUAAUAAUAAUUAUAAAAAAUAAAUGGGGAAAACUCAAUUAUUCCAAAUGUUUGACCGGCAGUGUAUAUAAAAAGCUGCAAGCAAAUUCUUCAAAAUUCUCUUUUUGUGUUUUACAUCAGAAAGUUACAGCAUACAGGUUUGGAAUGACAUUAAUAAAAAAUUCUCAAAUUUUAUAAGCUCUACUGUGAGUGGUUAGUGAAUAGGCAGGUUCUUGCACUCAAUAUGGUAUUCAACUGUUGAAUGAAUUCGUCCAUUAAAGUUUUAAUUACAAUAACAGCCGAUGUCUGCCAGUGACGAGGACCUAGUCAGGGUCUCUGAUCCCAUAACCAUGACCUUGUCCUCAAAUUCAUCCUCUGCAAACGGUGAGUUGAUAUUGGUGUAUGUACCAAUUUGCAAUUCAAAUGAUGGAUACUGACUUCAAACUGUGCCUACAGUGAAUGUGAGCCGCGCAAUAUGUGUAUCAGCCACAAUUCCCCAGUCACUCCUCCACAGGGCAUUGUCCAUGACUCUUAGAUUGAUAGAGAGUGUCAACAUCUGUUUAGGUGGCAGAGUAGAAAAAAGGGAGAAAGAAGCAAUUUGGGCAGGUUAUUCUUUGGGGAAUUUGGGAGUAAGUCAAUCUGAUGAGUAUCGCCUAAAUGCGCAAACACACACACACACACACACACACACACACACGCACACACACACACACACAUACAUACAUCUUUGUUAUUAGAUCUUAACACGGUAUCCAAAUGAUGAUUCAUCUGCCUUUCAGGUAGUGGGGAAAAAUGGGGCAUACGCUUGUCCUGACAGACUGAUCCAGAUAUAAUGUAAAAUAUCUCUCAUUCCGGACCCUUCCAGCGGUGGACACACACACACACACACACACACACACACACACACACACAGACAGGUGUAUGUGCUGCAUAAUUCAUAUGACUUCCACUCUCACUCUGGCCUGGUUUCCUG
ensembl:lncRNA